GCCACAGUGGUGAGACUGCCGCUGUCGCCUUCCUAAACCGUGUGUCGCAGGUUCGAAUCCUGCCGGGGGCACCA
rnacentral:tRNA from 1 species